GUCGCAGAUUUCAGUAGCCGAUGAAGGUGAAAAUUUGAAUGCUGGACGUACGGUUAGAGGUGGCAGAAGUCGCGGCAGGCCUCCUAGCCGCGGACGACGCGGUAGACUUGCAACAGUAUUAUUAAAUGAUAUUCGAGAAGUGGAAGAGACAACUACAAAUAUCGAAGAAACCGAAAGUGGAAGAACACAGCAAGCAAGUUUGGAA
rnacentral:lncRNA from 13 species